rnacentral:lncRNA from 1 species
UAAUGUUUAAACCCAAUGAUUCAAGGCAAAGAUAAAAGAUCCUAGAACAAGGAAAUACCCUUUUCCAUUUUCUCAACAACUAGAUUAAAAUGAAGAAUCGAAAUAGUACAGGAUGGAGCUUGAAGAGAAACAUCCAUUUUUCAGGGGCAAGGAUCUAGGGUUAGUUAAUGGAAAUCAAUAAGUUGGAACAACUUCGUAAGUCUAUUUGUGAUAUAGAAAUCGAAAGGAUCCGAUUCAAACUAUUUUCAAAUCAAAAAGAAAAGUUGUUGGAAUUGGUAAAACUCUUUCGAUCAAAAGUGUAUCAUGCGGGAAUUAAUCGUUCAUAUGAUUCUUUGAUAGAAAAAAA